ACGUAGGCAACCUGCCCACAAGACAGGGAUAACUACCGGAAACGGUAGCUAAUACCCGAUACAUCCUUUUCCUGCAUGGGAGAAGGAGGAAAGACGGAGCAAUCUGUCACUUGUGGAUGGGCCUGCGGCGCAUUAGCUAGUUGGUGGGGUAAUGGCCUACCAAGGCGACGAUGCGUAGCCGACCUGAGAGGGUGAUCGGCCACACUGGGACUGAGACACGGCCCAAACUCCUACGGGAGGCAGCAGUAGGGAAUCUUCCGCAAUGGGCGAAAGCCUGACGGAGCAACGCCGCGUGAGUGAUGAAGGUUUUCGGAUCGUAAAGCUCUGUUGCCAGGGAAGAACGUCUUGUAGAGUAACUGCUACAAGAGUGACGGUACCUGAGAAGAAAGCCCCGGCUAACUACGUGCCAUCAGCCGCGGUAAUACCUAGGGGGCAAGCGUUGUCCGGAAUUAUUGGGCGUAAAGCGCGCGCAGGCGGCUCUUUAAGUCUGGUGUUUAAUCCCGAGGCUCAACUUCGGGUCGCACUGGAAACUGGAGAGCUUGAGUGCAGAAGAGGAGAGUGGAAUUCCACGUGUAGCGGUGAAAUGCGUAGAGAUGUGGAGGAACACCAGUGGCGAAGGCGACUCUCUGGGCUGUAACUGACGCUGAGGCGCGAAAGCGUGGGGAGCAAACAGGAUUAGAUACCCUGGUAGUCCACGCCGUUAAACGAUGAAUGCUAGGUGUUAGGGGUUUCGAUACCCU
rnacentral:rRNA from 1 species